rnacentral:rRNA from 1 species
UAAGGAAUAUUGCUCAAUGGGAGAAAUCCUGAAGCAGCAACGCCGCGUGGAGGAUGAAGGGUCUAUGACUUGUAAACUCCUGUAAAGAAGGAAAAAAUUCCCAUUUGAUGGGAGAUGAUGGUACUUCUGGAGUAAGCCCCGGCUAACUACGUGCCUGCAGCCGCGGUAAUACGUAGGGGGCAAGCGUUGUCCGGAUUUACUGGGUGUAAAGGGUGCUCAGGCGGAUUUGUAAGUCAGAGGUGAAAUCUUACAGCUUAACUGUGAAACUGCCUUUGAUACUGCAAGCCUAGAGUAUGGAAGAGAGUGAUGGAAUAUCUGGUGUAGCAGUGAAAUGCGUAGAUAUCAGAUAGAACACCAAUGGCGAAGGCAGUCACUUGGUCCAUUACUGACGCUAAAGCACGAAAGCGUGGGUAGCAAACA